UGGGCGCAAGCCUGAUGCAGCGACGCCGCGUGAGGGAUGAAGGCCUUCGGGUUGUAAACCUCUUUCAGCAGGGAAGAAGCGCAAGUGACGGUACCUGCAGAAGAAGCGCCGGCUAACUACGUGCCAGCAGCCGCGGUAAUACGUAGGGCGCAAGCGUUGUCCGGAAUUAUUGGGCGUAAAGAGCUCGUAGGCGGUUUGUCGCGUCUGGUGUGAAAACUCGAGGCUCAACCUCGAGCUUGCAUCGGGUACGGGCAGACUAGAGUGCGGUAGGGGAGACUGGAAUUCCUGGUGUAGCGGUGGAAUGCGCAGAUAUCAGGAGGAACACCGAUGGCGAAGGCAGGUCUCUGGGCCGCAACUGACGCUGAGGAGCGAAAGCAUGGGGAGCGAACAGGAUUAGAUACCCUGGUAGUCCAUGCCGUAAACGUUGGGCACUAGGUGUGGGGCUCAUUCCACGAGUUCCGUGCCGCAGCAAACGCAUUAAGUGCCCCGCCUGGGGAGUACGGCCGCAAGGCUAAAACUCAAAGGAAUUGACGGGGGCCCGCACAAGCGGCGGAGCAUGCGGAUUAAUUCGAUGCAACGCGAAGAACCUUACCAAGGCUUGACAUGCACCGGGAAAGCCAC
rnacentral:rRNA from 1 species